GACGAACGCUGGCGGCGUGCUUAACACAUGCAAGUCGAACGGAAAGGCCCUGCUUUUGUGGGGUGCUCGAGUGGCGAACGGGUGAGUAACACGUGAGUAACCUGCCCUUGACUUUGGGAUAACUUCAGGAAACUGGGGCUAAUACCGGAUAGGAGCUCCUGCUGCAUGGUGGGGGUUGGAAAGUUUCGGCGGUUGGGGAUGGACUCGCGGCUUAUCAGCUUGUUGGUGGGGUAGUGGCUUACCAAGGCUUUGACGGGUAGCCGGCCUGAGAGGGUGACCGGCCACAUUGGGGCUGAGAUACGGCCCAGACUCCUACGGGCGGCAGCAGUGGGGAAUAUUGCACAAUGGGCGGAGGCCUGAUGCAGCAACGCCGCGUGCGGGAUGACGGCCUUCGGGUUGUAAACCGCUUUCGCCUGUGACGAAGCGUGAGUGACGGUAAUGGGUAAAGAAGCACCGGCUAACUACGU
rnacentral:rRNA from 1 species